UACGUAGGUGGCAAGCGUUAUCCGGAAUUAUUGGGCGUAAAGAGCGCGCAGGUGGUUAAUUAAGUCUGAUGUGAAAGCCCACGGCUUAACCGUGGAGGGCCAUUGGAAACUGGUUGACUUGAGUGCAGAAGAGGGAAGUGGAAUUCCAUGUGUAGCGGUGAAAUGCGUAGAGAUAUGGAGGAACACCAGUGGCGAAGGCGGCUUCCUGGUCUGCAACUGACACUGAGGCGCGAAAGCGUGGGGAGCAAACAGG
rnacentral:rRNA from 1 species